rnacentral:sRNA from 1 species
UUUAGCCCCGAUUGUAAUGAAAAUCCUUUUUUGCAAAAAAAGAUUGCAAUGGAAAGCGGGAAAUAG